rnacentral:rRNA from 1 species
CUGGCGGCAUGCUUUACACAUGCAAGUCGGACGGCAGCGGGGGUGCUUGCACCUGCCGGCGAGUGGCGAACGGGUGAGUAACAUAUUGGAAUGUACCGAGUAGUGGGGGAUAACCAAUCGAAAGAUUGGCUAAUACCGCAUACGUCCUGAGGGGGAAAGCAGGGGAUCUUCGGACCUUGCGCUAUUUGAGCAGCCAAUAUCUGAUUAGCUAGUUGGUGGGGUAAGGGCCCACCAAGGCGACGAUCAGUAGCGGGUCUGAGAGGAUGAUCCGCCACACUGGGACUGAGACACGGCCCAGACUCCUACGGGAGGCAGCAGUGGGGAAUUUUGGACAAUGGGGGCAACCCUGAUCCAGCCAUGCCGCGUGUCUGAAGAAGGCCUUCGGGUUGUAAAGGACUUUUGUUAGGGAAGAAAAGGGAAGUGUUA